rnacentral:rRNA from 1 species
AUUGAACGCUGGCGGCAGGCCUAACACAUGCAAGUCGAACGAGUGGCGGACGGGUGAGUAAUGUCUGGGAGACUGCCCGAUGGAGGGGGAGAACUCCUGGAAACGGUAGCUAAUACCGCAUACCAUCGGAUGUGCCCAGAUGGGGUUAGAUUGUAGGUGAGGGAACGGCUCACCUCUGCGACGCUCCCUAGCUGGUCUGAGAGGAUGAGCCGCCACACUGGGACUGAGACACGGUCCAGACUCCUACGGGAGGCAGCAGUGGGGAAUAUUGCACAAUGGGCGCAAGUCUGACGUAGCCAGGCCGCGUGUAUGAAGAAGGCCUUCGGGUUGUAAAGCACUUUCAGUGGGGAGGCGUUACCCGCAGAGGAAGCACCGGCUAACUCCGUGCCAGCCGCCGCGGUAAUUC